GCCUAAGUUAGCUUGGUAGGUAGAGCGUCUGCCUUGUAAGCGCUAGGCCACGGGUUCGAUUCCCGCCCGGGGCG
rnacentral:tRNA from 1 species